UACGAAGGGGGCUAGCGUUGCUCGGAAUCACUGGGCGUAAAGCGCACGUAGGCGGAUUGCUAAGUCAGGGGUGAAAUCCUGGAGCUCAACUCCAGAACUGCCCUUGAUACUGGCGGUCUCGAGUCCGGGAGAGGUGAGUGAAACUGCGAGUGUAGAGGUGAAAUUCGUAGAUAUUCGCAAGAACACCAGUGGCGAAGGCGGCUCACUGGCCCGGUACUGACGCUGAGGUGCGAAAGCGUGGGGAGCAAACAGGG
rnacentral:rRNA from 1 species